rnacentral:tRNA from 1 species
GGCCGUCCCGGACAGGCAGUCAGGGCCGCUCCGGCCGGCCGGGGCCGCUCCGGCCGGCCGGGGCCGGGCCGCCGCCCGGUGACGGCGG